rnacentral:lncRNA from 1 species
ACCUGAGUUCUUCACUGCUUCUCUGUCUGGCCACUCUGAUGGAAGGGGUAAUGCCUGCAGACAUGAAGUGAGAACAGAUUGCUGAUGAGCUGCCUUGUGCUCUUUAGAUUUUAGUUUUCUGUGGAUUUUACUUGCCUGGACUGCCUACAGUUGUUUGUGCGCAGACAGGGUGGUUAUGUGCAAAUUCCCGUUAGACUUCUACCAGAAAACCCUUUAGGAGGACAGAGAAGAUGUUCCUCAGGUUUACUGGUCUGAAAACAAAUGGUUUGUGUGUGAGUCUGUGGCACAGUGGCUGUCCAUGGAUCACCCACUCCCUGCUGCCUUGGGGCACGGUCUGACAAAUCGUGUGUUCUUACUGUGCCACCACGUUAAACCCUCGCGUUGUUCCUUGGGCUGCAGUCUGGAGACAGAAGUCAGAAGACAUUUCAUUGGUUGAAUAUAUGUGGAAUGAAAACUAUUGCCAUUUGAGAGCAGCAUCUCACAGGGGGAAGGGAAGGAGGGAGGGCACAGGAGGAGUGUGUUGAUUGGGACUGACAUGCGCCUUAAUAUCUGAUGUGGCUUUCACACUUGGAAAUAUUCAGGACUCCAUAUGUUCCAAAAACCCCACUGAACAGUGCAUAUAACAUUGCCUUUAUCAUUCUUUAAUCUCAGUUUAAUUGCUGUGGUCAAAUUACCCCACACUUAAUAACCCACAGCUUGGUAUAUUAUUUAAUAUGGUUGACACAUACUUUGUUUUAAAUGUCAGUGCUGGUAAAGCCCUGGAGUUGGCAAUGCUGUGCAUGAUAGAUGGCAGAGGAGACGGAUCAUCUGUUCUUUGUCUGAGCUGUUGGUCUGAGGUAGAGAAAGGUUCUCUGGAAUGGUCUCAGGCCACUGUACAGCAACAGUUCUGAGUGGCCACAUAGUGCUGCAUUUGAACCCCUGACCCAGGAACAAAAUGAAUUACGUGUAGACUGAAGUAUGGAGAUGGGACAAUUCUGGUUUCUCACGUUUCAAAGGAAUAAAGCAGUGACUGUAGACAGUGAUUGCUUGGAGCUAGCUCUUCUCUUCCCAGCUUGCCUAUGGAUUCUCCUGAGCAGCCAUCUUUCAGAUGCAUGGCACAUUCUGGAAACCAGCUCAAGUGUAAAAUUUUGGGAAGAGCCUUUAUUGCUGACUUCAGACAGGAAAAUCACACCCUGGAAAAGGCCAAGAAUGCUAGCAGGUCUGUUCCCAGUAAAGGGCUGAUGGUACUUGCAUGGUGCAGAAACAUGUUGAAUUUUCUCUCUACUUCCUGAGAGAAUUAUUAGACUGGCUGGUUU